rnacentral:tRNA from 1 species
GUUGGUGUAGCUCAGUGGUAGAGUGCAUGAUUUGUAUGUAUAUUGUCCUGAGUUCAAUCCCCAGCUUCUCCC